GACGAACGCGGCGGCGUGCUUAACACAUGCAAGUCGAACGGAAAGAGAUGAAAGAGCUUGCUCUUUUAUUAAUUUCAGUGGCAAACGGGUGAGUAACACGUAAACAACCUGCCUUAAGGAUGGGGAUAACAGACGGAAACGACUGCUAAUACCGAAUACGUUCUAAGCAUCGCAUGGUGCAUAGAAGAAAGGGUGGCCUCUACAAGAAAGCUAUCGCCUUAAGAGGGGUUUGCGACUGAUUAGGUAGUUGGUGAGGUAACGGCUCACCAAGCCGACGAUCAGUAGCCGGUCUGAGAGGAUGAACGGCCACACUGGAACUGAGACACGGUCCAGACUCCUACGGGAGGCAGCAGUGGGGAAUCUUCCGCAAUGGACGAAAGUCUGACGGAGCAACGCCGCGUGAACGAAGAAGGUCUUCGGAUUGUAAAGUUCUGUGAUUCGGGACGAAAGGGUUUGUGGUGAAUAAUCAUAGACAUUGACGGUACCGAAAAAGCAAGC
rnacentral:rRNA from 1 species